CUGUUACUCAAGAAAUUGGCUGCUCUCAGUUGUCACUUACUCAUGACAGUUUUAUGCAGUAUUCAGAGCUUUAGAGCUAGAGAAAAAUGCAGGCUGAUCCUGCCUGUGUCUACUUAACUCCUACUCUCUCGUGUUUUCUUCUCCACAGAGUUGUCUUUCCCUGCAACAGGCCAGUGCUAACAUAACUGGAGAAUGAAACUUUGAAGAUUCUUGCAAUUUCAUUUUUUGUGUAUUGAGGAGACGGGAGAUACGUGUGUGAUUGCAGAGGUCACGGCACAGCACGUGGAGGUUCAAGCAAAAGAAAGACAAGGAGAGAACGGGAGAAACCGAGGGGGAAAGUGUCUAAGGAGACCAUGAAGUGUCCCUGGAGUCAUCAUCCUCCAGCCCAGCGAGGGUGCGUACAUUUCACAUCGGAUCUGUGGUACCUACUGUCCAGACACAGGAGCUUGGGAAUGAAUGAGAAGAUUCUACUCCUUCCACUUGGGCUGGCUGGAUAGGCCUUCACAGCUUACCCAGAACUUUAUCUUCAGUGGUGUAUUUGCGUCAUGACCAAGGUGCUCAGGCCCUGUGGUAUUUCCUCUGACAGUGAGGAAUGUGGUGCAAGAAUGUGAUUCCCUCUUGGCUAGCACAAUACCUGCUGCCUGGUGCUACCCUAAAAACAAGACACACAGCAAAUGUCUGUUAUCUACACUAGCGGCUCAUUGAGGUCGUUGGCCAUUUUUAAGUAAUCCUUGCAAUCCAGAAUCUACUAUUAUGGGUCAGCACAUAGUAAUGAGCAUUCCAAGAAAAAACUUAUGGAAGGACCACAAAGGACGAAUGAAUGUGACUCGGUGACUAUGAUCUGGUCUCCUAGUGAGUUAAUGGUGGUCCCCAACUUACAGCCUGGCACCAGUUCAAUCAUUUCACACUGGAUCGUGUGUGUUGUGUUGACCACAUUUGUACACUAGAGUGCACUUUGCUGAAUGCGGGUAGAAAGUCUUCAGAAUAGUCUCAUGAUUCAUCUGGCUGUCAAAACACGUAAGGUACAUGCACGUUGAUAUUUUCCCCUCCAUUCUUAAAUAUGUGUCUCUUUUCUGGUUUGAGAGCUUAACAGCUUCAUAUCAGCAGCUCAUUCAAGAUGAUCCAUUUGGCUAUUUUUGGACUAUAGGGUUUUUGUUUGUGUUUGUGUUUUUGUUUUUCUCCUCUGAUUUCUUAUCCUAGUAAAUCAUAGAAGCCCUUCCAUUCACCAUUCUGGUGACUUCUACUACUUUCCUUCCCACUCUUCUUGCUUUGUCUUGCAUAUAAUAUAUUAUGUGUACAUCUUUGGAGAGUGAUGUCAGUGAGUGAAAUGAAACAGAUUAGUCACUUAAUUUAUAGAGAGAGGAAUAAAUGGAAUAAAUUUCAGAAAAUAAUAAAUUAC
rnacentral:lncRNA from 1 species